rnacentral:rRNA from 1 species
UCAAGCUUACAAGAGCACAGGGCGGAUGCCCAGGCACCAUACGCCGAAGAAGGACGCGGUCAGCUGCGAAAAGCCUCGAGGAGCCGCAAGCAGGCAUUGAUUCGAGGAUUUCCGAAUGGGGAAACCCGGCGGGAGUAAUGUCCCGUCAUCCAUGACUGAAUCAAUAGGUCAUGAGAAGGGCACGCGGGGAACUGAAACAUCUAAGUACCCGCAGGAAGAGAAAGUAAUAACGAUUUCCUAAGUAGCGGCGAGCGAACGGGAAAGAGGCCAAACCAGAGAGCAUGCUCUUUGGGGUUGUGGGUCAGCAGAACGUACGUGAAAGUCUAGUGGAAGCGCGUUGGAAAGCGCCGCCAAAGAGAGUGACAGCCUCGUAGACGAAAGGCAGACACGGCAAGCUGAUACCAGAGUACCGCAGGACACGAGAAAUCCAGCGGGAAGCCGGGGGGACCACCCUCCAAGCCUAAAUACGAUAUGGUGACCGAUAGCGCAUAGUACCGUGAGGGAAAGGUGAAAAGAACCCCGGGAGGGGAGUGAAAGAGAACCUGAAACCCUGUGUUUACAAGCAGAGGAAGCACGAUUCAGGUGCGACCUUGUACUUUUUGUAGAACGGACCGGCGAGUUACGUUAUGCAGCGAGGUUAAGAACUAAAGGUUCGGAGCCGAAGCGAAAGCGAGUCUGAAUAGGGCGACAAGUUGCAUGACGUAGACCCGAAACCGGGUGACCUAUCCAUGGCCAGGUUGAAGUGGGAGUACAAUCCCAUGGAGGACCGAACCAGACGUCUGUUGAAAAAGGCGGGGAUGAGCUGUGGAUAGCGGAGAAAUUCCAAUCGAACCCGGAGAUAGCUGGUUCUCCUCGAAAUAGCUUUAGGGCUAGCCUCGUAUUAGAUUAUCGGAGGUAGAGCACUGAAUGGGCUAGGGGGUCCAAAGCUUACCGAACCCUAUCAAACUGCGAAUGCCGAAUAAUUGAUGUACGGGAGUCAGUCCGCGAGAGAUAAGUUCCGCGGGCAAAAGGGGAACACCCCAGACCCGCCGCUAAGGUCCCGAAGUUCACGUUAAGUGGAGAAGGAUGUGUGAUUGCAUAGACAACCAGGAUGUUGGCUCAGAAGCAGCCAUUCAUUCAAAGAGUGCGUAAUAGCUCACUGGUCGAGUGGUCAUGCGCCGAAGAUGUACCGGGGCUCAAACGUGACACCGAAGCGCGGGAUUCGUUUUAAGGACGAGUGGUAGAGGAGCAAUGAAUCAGGGCAGAAGCCAGAUCGAGAGGACUGGUGGACUUGAUUCAAGAGAGAAUGCCGGUAUGAGUAGCGAGAGGCAAGCGAGAAACUUGCCCGUCGAAAGCCUAAGGUUUCCUGGGGAAGGUUCAUCCGCCCAGGGUAAGUCGGGACCUAAGCCGAGGACGGAAGUCGUAGGCGAUGGACAGCAGGUGGAGAUUCCUGCACCGCCUUGAGAAUGAAGCAAUGACAUAGAAGGAUAGCAUGAGCCGGGUGAUGGUCAACUCGGUUUCCACAGCGAGGGUGCUUGGUAGUGAAGUACGUCAAGCAUAAGCCUGAGCCGAAGAGGGAGCGAAAUCAAGUAGCGAAGCAUGCGAUUUCACGCUGGCGAGAAAAGUUGCUAGUUUAUCGAAAAGGCGCCCGUACCGCAAUCCGACGCAGGUAGGCGAGAAGAGAAUUCUAAGACGAACGGGAGAAUCCUUGUUAAGGAACUCGGCAAAAUGACCCCGUAACUUCGGGAGAAGGGGUGCCGAUGGAAACAUCGGUCGCAGAGAAUAGGCUCAAGCAACUGUUUAGCAAAAACACAGGUAUCUGCGAAAGAGAGAUCUGACGUAUAGGUGCUGACACCUGCCCGGUGCUGGAAGGUUAAGGGGAAAUGUUAGGGCAACCGAAGCAUAGAACCGAAGCCCCAGUAAACGGCGGCCGUAACUAUAACGGUCCUAAGGUAGCGAAAUUCCUUGUCGGGUAAGUUCCGACCCGCACGAAUGGUGUAAUGAUUUGAGCGCUGUCUCAACAGGGAGCCCGGUGAAAUUGAAGUAUGGGUGAAGAUGCCCAUUACCCGCGACUGGACGGAAAGACCCCGUAGAGCUUGACUGUAGCUUGAUAUUGGAUUUCGGUAACGGAUGCACAGCAUAGGUGGGAGACAGGGAAACCACUACUUCGGUAGUGAUGGAGUCGCCGUUGGGAUACCACUCUUCUGUUAUUGGAAUUCUAACAUAGCGCCAUGAAACUGGUGGAUGGACAGUGUCAGGUGGGCAGUUUGACUGGGGCGGUCGCCUCCAAAAGAGUAACGGAGGCGCCCAAAGGUACCCUCAGAAUGGAUGGAAACCAUUCAAAGAGUGCAAAGGCAGAAGGGUGCUUGACUGUGAGAGUGACAACUCGAUCAGAGACGAAAGUCGGGCUUAGUGAUCCGGCGGUAUUGAGUGGAAAAGCCGUCGC